GACGAACGCUGGCGGCGUGCUUAACACAUGCAAGUCGAACGGAAAGGCCCUGCUUUUGUGGGGUGCUCGAGUGGCGAACGGGUGAGUAACACGUGAGUAACCUGCCCUUGACUUUGGGAUAACUUCAGGAAACUGGGGCUAAUACCGGAUAGGAGCUCCUGCUGCAUGGUGGGGGUUGGAAAGUUUCGGCGGUUGGGGAUGGACUCGCGGCUUAUCAGCUUGUUGGUGGGGUAGUGGCUUACCAAGGCUUUGACGGGUAGCCGGCCUGAGAGGGUGACCGGCCACAUUGGGACUGGGAUACGGCCCAGACUCCAACGGGGGGCAGCAGUGGGGAAUAUUGCACAAUGGGCGGAAGCCUGAUGCAGCAACGCCGCGUGCGGGAUGACGGCCUUCGGGUUGUAAACCGCUUUCGCCUGUGACGAAGCGUGAGUGACGGUAAUGAGUAAAGAAGCACCGGCUAACUACGUG
rnacentral:rRNA from 1 species